rnacentral:rRNA from 1 species
UACGUAGGGUGCAAGCGUUGCCCGGAUUUAUUGGGCGUAAAGGGCGCGUAGGCGGCUCGGCACGUCCGUUGUGAAAUCGCCCGGCUCAACUGGGCGGGGUCAGCGGAUACGGUCGAGCUUGAGCAAGCUAGGGGGCAAUGGAAUUCCCGGUGUAGUGGUGGAAUGCGUAGAUAUCGGGAGGAACACCAGUGGCGAAGGCGGUUCUCUGGGCAGUUGCUGACACUGAGGCGCGACAGCGUGGGGAGCAAACAGG